UUUAUACGUCGAAUUUUGGUCGCGUCGAAUGCAAGUAAGACAAUAGAUGAGAUGAUAAACCUCAUUAAGCUUCAUUAUCUAUUGUUUGAAUUGCAUUCGACGCGACCGAAAUUCGACGUAUAAA